UAGGGAAUCUUCGGCAAUGGACGAAAGUCUGACCGAGCAACGCCGCGUGAGUGAAGAAGGUUUUCGGAUCGUAAAACUCUGUUGUUAGAGAAGAACAAGGACGUUAGUAACUGAACGUCCCCUGACGGUAUCUAACCAGAAAGCCACGGCUAACUACGUGCCAGCAGCCGCGGUAAUACGUAGGUGGCAAGCGUUGUCCGGAUUUAUUGGGCGUAAAGCGAGCGCAGGCGGUUUCUUAAGUCUGAUGUGAAAGCCCCCGGCUAAACCGGGGAGGGUCAUUGGAAACUGGGAGACUUGAGUGCAGAAGAGGAGAGUGGAAUUCCAUGUGUAGCGGUGAAAUGCGUAGAUAUAUGGAGGAACACCAGUGGCGAAGGCGGCUCUCUGGUCUGUAACUGACGCUGAGGCUCGAAAGCGUGGGGAGCAAACAGG
rnacentral:rRNA from 2 species